ensembl:lncRNA
GAAAAAGCAGCGUUGUUCCACGGUUAAGGUCCUGCUUUGCCUCAGUGUCAGCCAGCAGAAAUGUAAAUCACUGCAGCAAAAUAAAGGGUAAAAAGAGGAACAAAUUCAAAAUGUAAUAAAGUUAGGGAAGGCUGAAAGCCGGCAGCGGGUCUGAUAGGAAUGGGAAAGAAAUGGUUUGAAGAUCUAUGGGCAAUUAUCCUGAAAAAUAUAUACAUCUGGAGGAAGGAAAUCUGUUUGCUGCCGGACUCUGAGCUGUGAAAUGAUGCUGAAAUGCAGAUGCCAACAAGCUACAUCCCGGCCCAUUAGUGAUGUGAUGGAGUUUCCUGGCAUCUUGACGUGAAAAAUCAUCUUUUGUGGUGCUGCUGAGAGAUAUCAGAAGUUGAACAUCGGAACAGCUCUGGAGGAAGAAGAGUGCAACCUUCUCACCCACCACCUCAGCAUCUUCCAUGGGUACAAACCUGCAGCAAUGCUGUGUUGGAGGGGAUGUAACCCACCCCGGGGCUCGUAGAGGGAUUUUCUUUUCUUGAGUCUAAUAUUCAACAGUGUCUGCUGUGGAUGAGCUUGUUGGAUGGGAUGAAACCAUAGAAACACCCACACACGCGCAGCGCUGUGCUGGGUAGAAGGACAGGACCUGGAGAACAUUCAAUGCUGAACUUGAUGGUGGUUUAAGGGCAAAUCAGCUUCAAGAUAAAGCUGAUUUCAAAUCUGAACAUAGAAUUGGGAUAGAGGCGGGCGUCGCAGUGGGACUGCAGGGCACAUUGUGAGCAGGAGCCCUCCUUCCCCCCACAUUUCCCACCUGUGAGAUCCUAAUGGCAGCCGUAGGGCACAGCUACGUGGGUUGGGGGUCACAGCUGUGGGUCACAAAUCACAGGGAGUGCAUUUGCUGACGGAGGCAGAAAAAAUGGGAAGGUGCAGGAUGGAGCCGGGGUGGUUCUGAGGGCUGGGAAAAUGCUGGACAUGGAGAGGUAAAGCUUGAGGGCUGUGCAGUAACUUUGAUUGCGGUGCGUAAAUACCUUAACAGGAAGAAAAUAAGAGGUACCGAGAGGCUCUUUAUUCUAAUAUGUGAAAACAUAGUGGGAAGCAAUGGCUGGAAGAUGGAGAGAGAGGAGCUGGAAAUGUGGCUCAGACAACCUACGGCGAAGAUGAUUAUCUAUUAGGAUAAAUUACCUGGGAAGCAAAGCAGCCUUUAUCUUCUGACAGAGGCACACGAUGCCCUUCUGGAGAGGGCACGAACAGAAGCAAGUUAUUGUGUUAUUAAAAACUCUGUAAAAAUCUCUGGCUUGUUUUAUGCACGGCGUUGUGUUUAAUGCGUGAUGUCACCCAACUCAUCCCCAGCGCUGGAGAGAAAUGGAAGGGCUCUUCCAGUGGUGCAAGUAGGAUG